rnacentral:rRNA from 1 species
UAAGCGGAGGAAAGAAACUAACAAGGAUUUCCCUAGUAACGGCGAGCGAACGGGAAGAAGCCCAGCUUGAAAAUCGGGGGGACUUCGGCCUCUUCGAAUUGUAGUCUGGAGAAGGGUCCUCUGCAGCGGACCAGGCUAAGGUUCCCUGGAAUGGGAUGCCAGAGAGGGUGAGAGCCCCGUCUAGCCCGGACCCUGUUGCUCCACGAGGCUCUGUCUAAGAGUCGGGUUGCUUGGGAAUGCAGCCUUAAGCCGGUGGUAAGUUCCAUCGAAGGCUAAAUACUCACGAGAGACCGAUAGCGCACAAGUACCGCGAGGGAAAGAUGAAAAGGACUUUGAAAAGAGAGUCAAAAAGUGCUUGAAAUUGUUGGGAGGAAAGCGAAUGGAUGCCUUAGUUGCCUGCUGGCUGUGUGUGGAACGGUCCUUUAAGGGCUGGUCUGCCAAUUGGCUCAGCGGGUUCUCCAGCAUGGGAGCUGGCGGUGGUAUCAAUGGCUCGGCGGCUUGCGCCUCCUGCUUAUGCUGCCGCCGUCUCCUGUGUGCAGGUGUGCGCCGGUCUCCGGCAGGGCUUUUUGCCCUUGCACUCCUCCGAUGCUGGUGCUCUGGGCGUUCCAUUCGACCCGUCUUGAAACACGGACCAAGGAGUCUAACAUGUAUGCGAGCCUGCGGGUGAUAGACCUUGCUAGGCGAAAGGAAACUGAUCUGUGGGAUCCCCAAUCGGGGUGCACCAUUGACCGACCUUGAUCUUCUGUGAAAGGUUCGAGUGAUAGUAUACCUGUUAGGACCCGAAAGAUGGUGAACUAUGCCUGAGCAGGGCGAAGCCAGAGGAAACUCUGGUGGAGGCUCGUAGCGAUACUGACGUGCAAAUCGUUCGUUGGACUUGGGUAUAGGGGCGAAAGACUAAUCGAACCAUCUAGUAGCUGGUUCCGGCUGAAGUUUCCCUCAGGAUAGCUGGAGCUCAUUUCGAGUUUUAUCGGGUAAAGCGAAUGAUUAGAGGCCUCGGGGGUGAAACACCCUCGACCUAUUCUCAAACUUUAAAUAGGUAAAGUGUCAGGGUUGCUCUGGUGAACCCUGGCCUUGAAUCCGAGCUCCAAGUGGGCCAUUUUUGGUAAGCAGAACUGGCGAUGCGGGAUGAACCGAA